rnacentral:ncRNA from 1 species
CAACGAUAAUAGCAAACCUUUUGAAAAAUGGGGACGCAAAGCCACGGGUCUAAGGUUCGGAAGAAUGAUGAUCGCCGGGUUACCGAA